CUUCUAACGAUCAAACUAGCACAAACGUUAGCAGUUGUUUAAAGAAAAGAUAUUGCUGAACAGUCAAUUCAGCAAAUUUCUAAGCACUUACAAAUUCCAAAUUUCUCAAACAAGAAGCAGGAAAACGGUAAGUUAACGGAAUGAAUGUGUGAUGUAAAUGGUGAGUUCGCAAUUCCCAUCUUUGGCACUUUUCACCAAUUAAAGUUGCACUUUCAUCAAGGCACUCCGACGUAUUACCUAGUAUGGCGAAGCAACCGAAUGAAGUCUUCCUUCAACACCCUUACGCUAUUUCACAGUAUCUUGAAGUAACGAUGUCACCAUCUUUUCUAUUUUACUCGCAUCUACUGGAUUUCAUCUACGCAUUGCGGGACAGGCGACGCUUUAGAUGUCCGCUGCUCGUCACUAUUUUUUCACAAUCGGCAAAGUUGAAGUUGCAAAUCCAGUAGCGGAAAGUCUAGUUGGCUUCAAUAUUCUCAAAUUUGUAUAACAGGAACUUAACUCAUGUGCUUUUGUUAACGUGCAUUCUUUUUCUGUAGCGAAUGUCUUCACAGACUAAUCGAGGAAAACAGACCCGCUACUUACAAUAAUUGAUCCUUAUUUCCUUUUAAUCAUUUACAAUGGUGAUGCUUUUUAAUCGUUUAGGAUACCUUGAUAAGAAUAUAUAGCGCUGAACCUAAUCGUACUGAGAAUCUUAAAAAUUAGUAUAAGCAGUGCGACACUAAGGUUGCAUAUGUUUGGUGUUUAAGAGAAAUGUAUGGUUUCAAAACCUCAGUAAUCAAAAGAAUUUCAAUGGUUCGACUAAUUAGAAUUCUAAUCCAGCUUGCUGUUAUACAUGUCUUAUUUGCGGUAGCUCUUUUCAAUUUCUCAAACUUGUUGUGAUUAUGAAUUAAUUGAGCCUUUACUGAAUGUAAAGCCAGUGUAUAUCCCCCCCCCCCAAAAAAAAAAAAAACACACACACACACACACACACAUACAUAUUAAUCACGAAUCUUGAUAAUUAAAUAAUGAAUUUUUAUUUGUCUCAAUUGCAGAAUGAUGGUAUCCCUUUUUUAUAAUUCCUAGGCUUCUUAAUUGCGUUUGGCUUCGCGCAUGGAUUAGUUGAAUUUAUUUUUACAUCUGCAAAGUGACUCGUUUUCAAUACUCACUUUUGCUUGCUUAAAUUACUAUGGACCAAUUCCUUUGCUUAUUUGUUGGUCGAAAAAUGUUCAGAGGAAGAUUACCUCAAACGUUUUCUGCCUGAUGCUAAGGGAAUGAAAUGCAAAGCAGAAUUACUGUAAAACAUCUUAAUGAGAUUUAUACAACUUACUAAAUGAGAACUUCCAUGUCUUCCAUGUCUCAAUACGGUUUGUCGUAUUAUGAAAAUUACUACUUAUUGUCACGUAUUGUUCAAGUAUACGCAGCGAGUGUUUAAAACAAACCAGUUUUCAAAAUGAUUCAUAAUACUUUUAUUCUUUAUGUCUUCACAUAAAUUAGUUUGUAUCUUAAGCCUUUUAUUGUAUAAUAAUGAAAAAAAAUAAAUAUCGCGUAUCGCUUCAAAAUUCACCGACAAUGACAACAGUGCUUGAAUUCUCGGACAAAUCACAGUUCCAAUAGCCUCAACCCUUUUUGAAAAAAAUCAAACAGCCAUUGCUUGCAAUUCAAAGCACCAAACCGGUAUUCAAAUAAGAGGCUUCGAAAAUUCAUAAAAAAUCGCUGUCAUAGUUUUAAGAAGCUGACUAGUAUUUAAGGUGUGGUGGUGAAAAAAAAAAGAGAUGAAAUUUUAUAAAUGAAAUUUUCAAAUCUGACUCAUUUAAGUUUAACCGAAGGUUAUAAUGCGCACAGAAACACUCCCAGCACAUUUAUUAAUACUUCAUAAAAGUUAACGG
rnacentral:lncRNA from 1 species